rnacentral:tmRNA from 1 species
GGGGCUGAUUCUGGAUUCGACGGGAUUUGCGAAACCCAAGGUGCAUGCCGAGGGGCGGUUGGCCUCGUAAAAAGCCGCAAAAAAUAGUCGCAAACGACGAAAACUACGCUUUAGCAGCUUAAUAACCUGCUUAGAGCCCUCUCUCCCUAGCCUCCGCUCUUAGGACGGGGAUCAAGAGAGGUCAAACCCAAAAGAGAUCGCGUGGAAGCCCUGCCUGGGGUUGAAGCGUUAAAACUUAAUCAGGCUAGUUUGUUAGUGGCGUGUCCGUCCGCAGCUGGCAAGCGAAUGUAAAGACUGACUAAGCAUGUAGUACCGAGGAUGUAGGAAUUUCGGACGCGGGUUCAACUCCCGCCAGCUCCACUU